GCCUCCGUAGCUCAGUUGAUCAGAGCGCCACUCUUGUAAAGUGGAUGUCGUCAGUUUAAAUCUGACCGGAGGCUCCA
rnacentral:tRNA from 1 species